rnacentral:rRNA from 1 species
UACAGAGGGGGCAAGCGUUAUUCGGAAUUAUUGGGCGUAAAGGGCGCGUAGGCGGCUUUUCAAGUGACGGGUGAAAUCCCUCGGCUUAACCGAGGAACUGCCUGUCAGACUGGAAGGCUUGAGACCAGGAGAGGUGAGUGGAAUUCCCGGUGUAGUGGUGAAAUGCGUAGAUAUCGGGAGGAACACCAGUGGCGAAGGCGACUUCCUGGCCUGUUCUUGACGCUGAGGCGCGAAAGCUAGGGUAGCAAACGGG